rnacentral:rRNA from 1 species
UCUACGGGAGGCAGCAGUGAGGAAUAUUGGUCAAUGGACGAGAGUCUGAACCAGCCAAGUAGCGUGAAGGAUGACUGCCCUAUGGGUUGUAAACUUCUUUUAUAUGGGAAUAAAAUGUUCCACGUGUGGGAUUUUGUAUGUACCAUAUGAAUAAGGCUCGGCUAACUCUGUGCCAGCAGCCGCGGUAAUAAGGAGGAUCCGAGCGUUAUCCUGAUUUAUUGGGUUUAAAGGGAGCGUAGGUGGAUUGUUAAGUCAGUUGUGAAUGGUUGCGGCUCAACCGUAAAAUUGCAGUUGAAACUGGCAGUCUUGAGUACAGUAGAGGUGGGCGGAAUUCGUGGUGUAGCGGUGAAAUGCUUAGAUAUCACGAAGAACUCCGAUUGCGAAGGCAGCCCACUGGACUGCAACUGACACUGAGGCUCGAAAGUGUGGGUAUCAAACAGGAUUAGAUACCCUGGUAGUC